GAAGGAUGCUGCUGCUGGUCAGCUGAGGUAGGCACUGCAACUGAAAAUACGAAACAGAAUUACGUUCAGUGCCACCGCUUUCUUCAUUAUCCAUAACAUAUUCAAAAAAAGCAAAGAAAACUGAUGUCUGAAGCAUUCAGAUGGCCACCUACUACCUUACUUAAAAUGGCAACCCACUGCAGUAUUCUUGCCUGGAGAAUCCCAUGGACGGAGGAGCCUGGGCACUGGGUUUCAUGCUGUGCCUGUUCCUAAUGGACCAUCCACCCUCUUCUCUCCUCCAAACCUCACAGACACCACCCAGAUGCCACUCAGCAGUGGAAGCUUCAAAGGGAAAGACUAAGGCAAGAUAAUUUAAAGCUUAAGGGGCACCUGAGCAGAUCCAGAAGCAAUCGGGAGCAGCCAGCUCAUCCUAACUGUGGUUCUAAUACAAUCCAUUCUAAAUCAUUACAGCUCUUGGCUUAUGACAAGACCCUUCAUGCAAGGCCACGCUUCCCACUUUACAGCAAUCACAAAUCUUCCCAGGCUCCCAGUAUGCAGCCUGGAUACUGUGCUCUGGUUAAAUGAACUGUUCUGCCGUGCUCAUUGAAAGCACUCAUCACCACCUUUACCGUAGCCAACUCUGAUGACUAACGGGCCAAGGAGGAAAACAGUUCACUUUUCAGAUAAAGCUGGAAUGUCAAUCAAUACUGAAGGUAAACAUGAUGACAGAGAGCUGCCUGGGUAAAUUUAAUUUCCUUUUCCAAAGCACAAGAAGCAUGCUCAGCGGGAUUCACACCCUGGUCUCUGUCUGGGACCUGUGCUUCUGCACACCAAAAGCCCUGGCCCCUGGGUGGCAGCAGGGAGCCACUAGGCAAGGGCAUCUUUAGGAUUCAGGAAGAAGGGCCCUUAACAGGUAAGUGUCUCUGGGACCCUGGCCGGUAGAUCUUGUGACCUGUGUGUCCUCACUCAAGAAUAACAGGAUGCUGGAACUGCAAGCCACAACCUCACCUCAAGUACAGAUUCAGACUCUCUGUACCAGACGGCAGGUAGGAACUCAUUUGAAAUUGCAACCUCGCAUGUUUCUGUAAAGCAGUGCCCCAU